CACAUGUUUGACCGUUCGUCUUAUUCAAAAAAUUUAAGUAAUUAUUAAUUCUUUUCCUAUCAUUUGAUUCAUUGUUAAAUAUAUUUUUAUGUAGGCAUAUAAUUUUACAUAUCUCACAAAAAUUUUUUGAAUAAGACGAACGGUCAAACAUGUGC
rnacentral:pre_miRNA from 1 species